rnacentral:rRNA from 1 species
UACGGGGGGGGCAAGCGUUGUUCGGAAUUCCUGGGCGUCAAGGGCUUGUAGGUGGCCAACUAAGUCAGACGUGAAAUCCCUCGGCUUAACCGGGGAACUGCGUCUGAUACUGGAUGGCUAGAGUGUGGGAGAGGGAUGCGGAAUUCCAGGUGUAGCGGUGAAAUGCGUAGAUAUCUGGAGGAACACCGGUGGCGAAGGCGGCAUCCUGGACCACGACUGACACUGAAAAGCGAAAGCCAGGGGAGCAAACGGG